AUGAACGCUAGCUACAGGCUUAACACAUGCAAGUCGAGGGGAAACGACAUCGAAAGCUUGCUUUUGAUGGGCGUCGACCGGCGCACGGGUGAGUAACGCGUAUCCAACCUGCCCAUCACUUGGGAAUAACCUUGCGAAAGUAAGACUAAUACCCAAUGAUAUCCCACGAAGGCAUCGGAAUGGGAUUAAAGAUUUAUCGGUGAUGGAUGGGGAUGCGUCUGAUUAGCUUGUUGGCGGGGUAACGGCCCACCAAGGCAACGAUCAGUAGGGGUUCUGAGAGGAAGGUCCCCCACAUUGGAACUGGGACACGGUCCAAACUCCUACGGGAGGCAGCAGUGAGGAAUAUUAGUCAAUGGGCGAGAGCCUGAACCAGCCAAGUAGCGUGCAGGAAGACGGCCCUAUGGGUUGUAAACUGCUUUUAUAAGGGAAUAAAGUGGGUCACGUGUGACUUUUUGCAUGUACCUUAUGAAUAAGGACCGGCUAAUUCCGUG
rnacentral:rRNA from 1 species